rnacentral:rRNA from 1 species
UACGUAGGGACCAAGCGUUGUUCGGAUUUACUGGGCGUAAAGGGCGCGUAGGCGGCGUGACAAGUCACUUGUGAAAUCUCCGGGCUUAACCCGGAACUGCCAAGUGAUACUGUCGUGCUAGAGUGCGGAAGGGGCAAUCGGAAUUCUCGGUGUAGCGGUGAAAUGCGUAGAUAUCGAGAGGAACACCUGAGGUGAAGACGGGUUGCUGGGCCGACACUGACACUGAGGCACGAAGGCCAGGGGAGCAAACGGG